rnacentral:lncRNA from 1 species
GCUGCCACCUUCCUGCCCGCAGAGAAAACAGCUGCCUUCUUCAAAAGUCAACACAGCCAGGCACUGUGCCGCUCAUCUGCCACCUCCAGCACUUGGGAGGGAGACACGUGGAGUCAGGCUGAGGCUAGCAGAAACUACAGGAGACCCUGUCUAAAUAGAAAAAUAAGUAAGAAAUGAAACUGAUCCUAAAAGUCAUACGGCGAUUCAAGAGGCACGGAAUAGCCAAAAUACUUUAGAGAGGCCAGAAAGAUGGUUCAGCAAUUAAAGACAUUUGC